rnacentral:rRNA from 1 species
UUUAUGGAGAGUUUGAUCCUGGCUCAGGAUGAACGCUGGCGGCGUGCCUAAUACAUGCAAGUCGAGCGAACGGACGAGAAGCUUGCUUCUCUGAUGUUAGCGGCGGACGGGUGAGUAACACGUGGAUAACCUACCUAUAAGACUGGGAUAACUUUGGGAAACCGGAGCUAAUACCGGAUAAUAUUUUGAACCGCAUGGUUC